rnacentral:rRNA from 1 species
UACGUAGGCAGCGAGCGUUGUUCGGAAUUACUGGGCGUAAAGAGUGUGUAGGCGGUGCUCUAAGUUCGGUGUGAAAUCUCCUGCUUAACUGGGAGGGUGCGCCGGAAACUGGAGUGCUCGAGCGUGGGAGAGGAAAGCGGAAUUCCUGGUGUAGCGGUGAAAUGCGCAGAUAUCAGGAGGAACACCAAUGGCGAAGGCAGCUCACUGGGACGAUACUGACGCUGAGACGCGAAAACGUGGGGAGCAAACAGG